GCAAUUUAAGCAGCAGCAAUUCUUAAAGUUUGAAUAUAAUGAGAAUUGGAACCUUUUUGAAUAUUCUUGCAUUCAUCAUGUUUGCAUCGACGAAACUCCCAACCACAAAAGUGAAGUGCAACCCGAUGAUUUGUCGUUCUGAGCGUUAGCCAUAACUAUCUUGCUAUAAAAAAAAUGUUGUCUUUUAGUGAAAGAAAAUUAUUUUUUAAAAUGAGUCUUCAUGGUCAUGGUUACACCUUGACUGAAUGAUUUUUUUUUAUAUUAAACUUUAGCACGCAAGGUUUUAAAA